rnacentral:rRNA from 1 species
UACGGAAGGCAGCAGUGGGGAAUAUUGCACAAUGGGCGCAAGCCUGAUGCAGCCAUGCCGCGUGUAUGAAGAAGGCCUUCGGGUUGUAAAGUACUUUCAGUCGUGAGGAAGGUGUUAAGGUUAAUAACCUUAGCAAUUGACGUUAGCGACAGAAGAAGCACCGGCUAACUCCGUGCCAGCAGCCGCGGUAAUACGGAGGGUGCGAGCGUUAAUCGGAAUUACUGGGCGUAAAGGGCACGCAGGCGGUUAAUUAAGUUGGAUGUGAAAUCCCCGGGCUUAACCUGGGAAUGGCAUUCAAGACUGGUUAGCUAGAGUCUUGUAGAGGGGGUAGAAUUCCAUGUGUAGCGGUGAAAUGCGUAGAGAUGUGGAGGAAUACCGGUGGCGAAAGGCGGCCCCUGGACAAAGACUGACGCUCAUGUGCGAAAGCUGGGGAGCAAACAGGAUUAGAUACC